rnacentral:misc_RNA from 1 species
AAAAAAAAAAAAAAAAAACUACUACGCACAAGUAACAAUAAUUGUAGAUCAAAAGCUAGCGGACAAAAGAGAUGAGAAAAGUGAAAAAAUCAAGGACAUUUAUCUCAGAAUUUAAAAGAAGCUACUGGACAAAAAAAGAUUAUAUCUUGGAAAUUGCAAUUUCAACAAAGCUUUUGAACACAAAGUAACUCUUUUCCUUCUAGGGUUUCGUUUUAGCUCUCUUUCUCUCUCAGCUACCAGUCAAUUUGCAAUUUUUUUAACCCACCUACCACCCAAAAAUCUCACAUUAACCAAAGCAACUCAAUGAUUAAGCCCAGAGACUGCAAGCUAUAGCUUUCAUCUUGGAAUCACUAAACAAAACCCAGUAACCCGAAAACUGAUCGCCGGCCAGCUGUUCUCCAAUCCAAAAAUGGUCAACUACUGAAUAAACAACUACCCAGAAUCUCAAAAGCUGAAAAAAUCCAAAUCAGAAAUGUGAAACAGUCUUAUAAUAAGGCUGCUAUAUAAGAAAUAAAAAUUCAGAGAAACAGAAACUGAGGGAGACAGAGAGACUUCGUGUGAAAGCUUU